UACAGAGGUCUCGAGCGUUAGGCGGAAUCACUGGGCUUAAAGGGCGCGUAGGCGGGCUCGCAAGUCAGGGGUGAAAGCCCACGGCUCAACCGUGGAAGUGCCUUUGAUACUGCGGGCCUCGAGGGAGGUAGGGGCGUGCGGAACUUCCGGUGGAGCGGUGAAAUGCGUAGAUAUCGGAAGGAACACCGGUGGCGAAAGCGGCGCGCUGGACCUCUUCUGACGCUGAGGCGCGAAAGCCAGGGGAGCAAACGGG
rnacentral:rRNA from 1 species